AGCGAACGCUGGCGGCAGGCUUAACACAUGCAAGUCGAGCGGGCCCUUCGGGGUCAGCGGCGGACGGGUGAGGAACGCGUGGGAACGUGCCUUCUGGUCUGGAAUAACCCUGGGAAACUAGGGCUAAUACCGGAUACGCCCUUUUGGGGAAAGGUUUACUGCCGGAAGAUCGGCCCGCGUCUGAUUAGCUAGUUGGUGGGGUAACGGCCUACCAAGGCGACGAUCAGUAGCUGGUCUGAGAGGAGGAUCAGCCACACUGGGACUGAGACACGGCCCAGACUCCUACGGGAGGCAGCAGUGGGGACUAUUGGACAAUGGGCGCAAGCCUGAUCCAGCCAUGCCGCGUGAGUGAUGAAGGCCUUAGGGUUGUAAAGCUCUUUUAUCCGGGACGAUAAUGACGGUACCGGAGGAAUAAGCCCCGGCUAACUUCGU
rnacentral:rRNA from 1 species